UUAGUUGAAAAGAGAUUUCCUCCGGUCAGGGCCACCCACUCUGUAACGGAACAGUAAAAAAACCGACCUCACCAGUCGGUUUUUUUAC
rnacentral:antisense_RNA from 1 species